rnacentral:rRNA from 1 species
GUUGGGGAAUGGUUUGCAGAGGGUCCGCGGCUGGCCGUGGCGGCACUCUUCCCGACCCGUCUUGAAACACGGACCAAGGAGUCUAACGUGAGCGCGAGUCACAGGGAAAAACACUCCCUCGGGGCGCAGCGAAAGCGACGUGGUCCGAUCCUUCCGCGGGUGCGGAGGGCGCAGGACCGGCCCGUCGGGGGUCGUUACGGCCUCGGCGGAGCAAGAGCGCUCGCGUUGGGACCCGAAAGAUGGUGAACUAGGCCCGAGCGGGACGAAGCCGGGAGAAAUGCUGGUGGAGGUCCUAAGUGGUUCUGACGCGCAAAUCGAUCACGGAACUUGGGCGUAGGGGCGAAAGACUAAUCGAACCAUCUAGUAGCUGGUUCCCUCCGAAGUUUCCCCCAGGAUAGCUGGCGCUCGCCGAGACAGUUUCGUCCGGUAAAGCGAAUGAUUAGAGGAGUCCGUGCCGAAAUGGCGUGGAGCUAUUGUCAAACUUUGAACGGGCGAGAAGGGGUGCCUACCGCUCGAUCUGGGAGGCUCGGCCCCCGUCGAAAUGUACGAGUGCCAAGUGGGCCACUUUUGGUAAGCAGAACUGGCGCUGUGGGAUGAACCAAACGCCGGGUUAAGGCGCCCGAUCGUCACGCUCAGCAGAACCCACAAAAGGCGUCCAUCGGUAAAGACAGCAGGACGGUGACCAUGGAAGUCGGUACCCGCCAAGGAGUGUGUAACAACUCACCUGCCGAAUUGGUGGGCCCUGAAAAUGGAUGGCGCUGUAGCGUGCAGCCUACACC